GUCUCCGGGCCAAGGCGAGGGAGGGAGGCGCCGGCGCACCUGGCGCCCUGGGCCGCCCCGGCCUCCCGGGUUAGGGCCUCCGGUUACAGCCCCUCCGCGCCGGCUGUGCUCGUCCCCGCGACGGGGCUGCGCCACGCCGCAGACCUCGGGGUCGCCCUGCUCGAGCCCCGGGCCAGGUGGCUGUUCCCGCGGGGGAAGGCGGCGGGCGGCGCCGGCGGCGGGGGACACGGGCGGGGACCGAGCGGCCUCCUGGGCGCGGUGCGGAGCUGCGGCGCGGUGAGUAGAGUACGUGCACCUGCGGGGACCCGGGCGAGGAGGAGCACCUGCGGGGGACCCGGGGGCUCAGGAGGAGCACCUGCGGGGGACCCAGGGCGAGGAGGAGCAUCUGCGGGGACCCAGGGCGAGGAGGAGCACCUGCGGGGACCCGGGGCGAGGAGGAGCACCUGCGGGGACCUGGGGGAUCAGGAGGAGCACCUGAGGGGACCCGGGGCGAGGAGGAGCACCUGCGGGGGACCCGGGGGCUCAGGAGGAGCACCUGCGGGGGACCCAGGGCGAGGAGGAGCACCUGCGGGGACCCGGGGCGAGGAGGAGCACCUGCGGGGAACCCGGGGGCUCAGGAGGAGCACCUGCGGGGACCCGGGGCGAGGAGGAGCACCUGCGGGGGACCCGGGGAAUCAGGAGAAGCACCUGCGGGGACCCGGAGGCUCAGGAGGAGCAUCUGCGGGGACCCAGGGCGAGGAGGAGCAUCUGCGGGGACCCGGGGCGAGGAGGAGCACCUGUGGGGACCCGGGGGCUCAGGAGGAGCCCCUGCGGGGGACCCUGGGGCCGAGUACGAGCUCCUGGGGGACCCGGGGGCCCAGUACCAGCACCUGCAGGGGACCCGGGGGCUUUGCGGCGGAGCCUCUCGUGAUUUUCCAGAACACGCUGAUGCUUAAAAGGAAAAACCAAAGCUCAGAAGUCAGGAGUCCAGCGCUGCCAACUGUACCCAAGAGGCGGGCGGAGCUCGCCGGGAGCGUGGAGGAAAUUAGCGCGAAACUAAAAGUGAAAUCUUGGCUGCAGUAG
rnacentral:lncRNA from 1 species